AUGCUCAGUCGAUUGGCCGCGCGGCGGCCCCGCCCAGGCAGCGCCCGGGCCGCUGCCUACCGCUCCUCGGCGGCAGCCUCCUCCUCGGUCCUGCCCGACGCGCUCGACCGGAGCUCCGACGCCUACGCCCGCAACGCCGCCGCCGUCGGCGGCCUCCUCUCCGACCUGCGCUCCCGCGUCUCCCAGGUGCUGGGCGGCGGAGGCGCGGGGGCGGUGAAGCGGAACCAGGGCCGGGGGAAGCUGCUCCCCAGGGACCGCAUCGACCGCCUGCUCGACCCCGGGGCCUCCUUCCUCGAGCUCUCUCAGCUUGCAGGAUCUGAUGUUUAUGAGGAAGCAUUACCAUCAGGGGGAAUAAUUACUGGCAUUGGACCUGUUCAUGGACGACUAUGUAUGUUUGUGGCCAAUGACCCAACUACGAAGGGGGGUACAUACUAUCCUAUCACCGUCAAAAAGCAUCUGCGGGCGCAGGAAAUAGCUUCUGAAUGUAAAUUGCCCUGCAUAUAUCUUGUUGACAGUGGAGGCGCUAAUCUCCCCAAGCAGGCAGAGGUUUUCCCCGACCGUGAUAAUUUUGGUCGAAUAUUCUACAACCAAGCUAAGAUGUCUGCAGAUGGUAUUCCUCAGAUUGCAGUAGUUUUAGGUUCUUGUACCGCUGGCGGGGCUUAUAUCCCUGCAAUGGCUGAUGAAAGUAUAAUAGUUAAGGGAAAUGGAACGAUAUUUCUAGCUGGUCCACCCCUUGUAAAGGCUGCUACAGGGGAGGAGAUAUCUGCUGAGGACCUUGGUGGAGCAUCAGUGCAUUGUAAAGUAUCAGGAGUCUCUGAUCAUUUUGCACAAGAUGAACGUCAUGGUCUUGCGCUGGGAAGGAACAUUGUGAAGAACCUCCAUUUGGCCGCUAAAGAAACAAGUAUACACAAUUCUGCUUGUGAUUACCAAGAACCAUUGUAUGAUGUACAGGAACUUCGCUCAAUUGCACCAGCUGAUACGAAGCAAUCUUUUGAUAUUCGCUCAAUAAUAGCUCGUAUAGUCGAUGGAAGUGAAUUUGAUGAAUUCAAAAAAUUGUACGGAACAACACUAGUGACCGGUUUUGCAAGGAUAUGCGGGCAGCCAGUUGGAAUUAUUGGAAACAAUGGCAUUUUAUUUACCGAGUCGGCACUAAAGGGUACCCACUUCAUUGAGUUGUGUGCUCAACGCAAUAUUCCUCUGAUAUUCCUUCAAAAUAUUUCUGGAUUCAUGGUUGGGUCGAAAUCUGAAGCAAGUGGAAUUGCGAAAGCUGGAGCAAAAAUGGUUAUGGCAGUUUCCUGUUCAAAGGUUCCUAAAAUUACCAUAAUUGUCGGUGGAAGUUUUGGUGCUGGGAAUUAUGGAAUGUGUGGACGUGCAUACAGCCCGAAUUUUUUGUUCAUGUGGCCAACUGCUAGGAUAUCUGUUAUGGGUGGCAUUCAGGCAGCUGGUGUUCUUGCCCAAAUAGAGAAGAACAACAGGAAAAGGCAAGGAGUGGAGUGGACCAAAGAUGACGAAGAAGCCUUCAAAGCCAAAGUCGUCGAGGCCUAUGACAAGGAAGGAAGCCCGUAUUACUCGACCGCUAGGCUUUGGGACGACGGGAUCAUAGAUCCCGCAGAUACCAGGCGGGUUCUAAGCCUUUGCCUUUCUGCUUCGGCCAAGCCGGUUCCAGAAGUCACGAAAUAUGGCGUGUUCCGAAUGUAA
rnacentral:rRNA from 1 species